UACGGAGGGUGCAAGCGUUGUCCGGAAUCACUGGGCGUAAAGGGCGCGUAGGCGGCUGUGACAGUCAGAUGUGAAAUUCCUGGGCUCAACCUGGGGGCUGCAUUUGAUACGUGAUGGCUGGAGUGGGGAAGAGGGUCGUGGAAUUCCCAGUGUAGAGGUGAAAUUCGUAGAUAUUGGGAAGAACACCGGUGGCGAAGGCGGCGACCUGGUCCUUGACUGACGCUGAGGCGCGAAAGCUCGGGGAGCGAACGGG
rnacentral:rRNA from 1 species